UACGGAGGGAGCUAGCGUUGUUCGGAAUUACUGGGCGUAAAGCGCGCGUAGGCGGCUUUGUAAGUUAGAGGUGAAAGCCCGGGGCUCAACCCCGGAGCUGCCUUUAAAACUGCAUCGCUUGAAUCCGGGAGAGGUGAGUGGAAUUCCGAGUGUAGAGGUGAAAUUCGUAGAUAUUCGGAAGAACACCAGUGGCGAAGGCGGCUCACUGGACCGGCAUUGACGCUGAGGUGCGAAAGCGUGGGGAGCAAACAGG
rnacentral:rRNA from 1 species